rnacentral:rRNA from 1 species
GACGAACGCUGGCGGCGUGCUUAACACAUGCAAGUCGAACGGAAAGGCCCCCUUUUGGGGUACUCGAGUGGCGAACGGGUGAGUAACACGUGAGUAACCUACCCUUGACUAUGGGAUAACUUCAUGAAACUGGGGCUAAUACCGGAUAGGAGCUCCUGCUGCAUGGUGGGGGUUGGAAAGUUUCGGCGGUUGGGGAUGGGCUCGCGGCUUAUCAGCUUGUUGGUGGGGUAGUGGCUCACCAAGGCUUUGACGGGUAGCCGGCCUGAGAGGGUGACCGGCCACAUUGGGACUGAGAUACGGCCCAGACUCCUACGGGAGGCAGCAGUGGGGAAUAUUGCACAAUGGGCGGAAGCCUGAUGCAGCAACGCCGCGUGCGGGAUGACGGCCUUCGGGUUGUAAACCGCUUUCGCCUGUGACGAAGCGUGAGUGACGGUAAUGGGUAAAGAAGCACCGGCUAACUACGUG